AAGAUUUAUUUCAAAACUUGUAGCACAAGCAGCAUUAGGUGUUGAUGAAAAUCUAGGAGUAACUGAUAUCAACACUAUGGCAUUACGAAUUUGUAAAUAUUUCCAUUUAGAAAAGGUAGAUUGUUAUUUUCAAAAAAACAAAAAUAAUUACCGAGGUAUGUUAUUCCACAUUUGUAAAAAUGAAAAAAAAUUAAUAUCAAAUACAAAAAAAGCAAUAGCUGCUGAUAAACCUCUGGCUACUGAAAAUGAUGUCGAUUUAAGUAUAAGUCGUGCAAAAGAUUUUUUAGAUAGCAGUCCUUGUGAUGAUCUUCAAUGGAAAAAAAUAAAGCGCGCAUGGAAAAAAACAAGUCAAUUAAGAAAAAUUGAUUUAAAAAAAAUUGUUGAACGUGCAAAAAAAUUAAGGAACAACUCGUACCAACUGAAGAAUUCUUUAAAAAUUGGCCAAUCUUAAGUUGUGCAAAUGGGCACAAAUUAAUUUAUAUAGACUUCAAAUUAUUUUUUCCUGAAGCAAAUAUAAUAACGGAAGAAAAAUAAAAUG